AUGCGAUACUUGGUGUGAAUUGCCCCCGAGUUCAGUUAAGUCAUCGAAUCUUUGAACGCACAUUGCGCCCGCCAGUAUUCUGGCGGGCAUGCCUGUCCGAGCGUCAUUUCAACCCUCGAACCCCUCCGGGGGGUCGGCGUUGGGGAUCGGGAACCCCUCAGACGGGAUCCCGGCCCCGAAAUACAGUGGCGGUCUCGCCGCAGCCUCUCCUGCGCAGUAGUUUGCACAACUCGCACCGGGAGCGCGGCGCGUCCACGUCCGUAAAACACCCAACUUUCUGAAAUGUUGACCUCGGAUCAAGGUUAGGAUUUCCCCGCUGAACUUAAGCAUAUCAAUAAGCGGAGGAA
rnacentral:rRNA from 1 species